ensembl:lncRNA
CUCCUAUGUCCAUGGAAUUCUCUAGAAAGGAGUACUGGAGUGGGUUGCCACUCCCUUCUCCAAGAGAUCUCGACCUAGGGACUGAACACAUCUCCUGCAUCGGCAAGUGGCUUCUUUACCACUGAGCCGCCUGGGAAGCCCUACUGUAGGUAGUAAGAUCAUGCUAAGAACGAUAGUGACAACAUAGUGCAAACUAUAGUGAAGACAAGACAACAUUUGUAAAGAAAUUCGUGUGUUUUUCAAUGAAAAAGAAUGAUGCUAAAGCUGAAACUCCAGUACUUUGGCCACCUCAUGCGAAGAGCUGACUCAUUGGAAAAGACUCUGAUGCUUGGAGGGAUUGGGGCCAGGAGGAAAAGGGGACGACAGAGGAUGAGAUGGCUGGAUGGCAUCACCAACGCGAUGGACAGCUGCCUGCCUAUAAGACAAGCUGGCCCUCUGUUCCAGCAUCCACAUGGUCUGGAGGACCACAUAGUGAGAAGUCAGCCAGCCACCCUACCUUCUGCCUGGGUUUCUAUCCUAUGACCAGUUUGGAUCCAAUUAUUGCAAGCUUUUGGUCCUCUUACCCACCUGUUUAUGAAGGACUGUGUGCUUCCUAAAUGUGGGUAUCUCCCAACACAUCUCUAGAUUGCAAGAGAAUGAAGAGUCAUAAGAUGCAGCUACUGAGUCUUUUGAAUCAAAACCACCUAAUUUGGAAGUAAGGCAUAUAGGGUCAAUUCCAACAUUCCAGAAACUUUAUAGUAUCAACAUUUUUUCCAUGGCUAAGCUCUGUGGAAUUGUCUUAUUCCUUUUUUUUUUUUUUAAAUAUUCAAUGUCCUAACUUUAGAGCCCACUAGAAUGAUCAAAGUACUAUAGCAAUGAUAUCCCACAUCAGUAUAUAAUUGUGUCUACUGGCAAAAUUAGGCAGAAUUCUUACGAGAAAUAUUUACAUAUAACACAUAUACACUGGGCGAUGGAUAUAACUAUAGGUGAAUUUCCCAGCUAUAUACUACAAGUCCAAAAUCAUGCAUUUUCCAAACAUUCCAACAAAGGCGGAGGGGAUGGAGACCUUGGGCAAUGCAUGGUCUCUACAAAUUACAGUUGUAUCUCCACUUCCAACUCGUGACAAUGUGUUCAAUGCUUACUGGGUGGCAUCAAAGCACUGGGCCCUCACUGCAUAAAGGGAGAAAAGCCCCAUGAAUCAAGCAGGAUCAGUGACUGGUCUCUGUAGGGCCCAGGUGAUGCUGACUCUCAGACUGUACAUAUAGCUGUGUGUGUGUGUGUGUGUGUUUGGUAGUGGAGGAGAAUGGGUAACAUGGCAGUACAGCAUGAAAGGCUCCUCUGAACUUCCCCUUAUGCCCUGGCUUCCUGGAAGCCAGCCACCUUCCAAAGAGAAACAGUUACUGCAGUCACAGUGCAGAGAAACACCAGGGCAGAGCCUCUAGUCUACCAACCUGAAUGGCUGAUGCUUUAAACGUCCUAAUGAAAGAUUAAUAGGGAUGGUGUUUUUGGAAAUAUUCAUCCUUUUUUUGUGUGUGUAAUCUCCUUUUUCGCCAUUAUCAUUCCCAGCAGUGUAAGCAGAGGACCAGACAAAAUCUAUCUUUUGUGAAGGAGUUAUGAACUUAGAAAAGCCACUACCCGAUAGUGAGGGGAAGGGGAAAAUCGUUCUGUCUUGGAGAUGAUGAGAAUCAAGCAGUUAGCCAUCUGUUCUCUGAUUAGACCUCUGUUGUAACAUUCUGGAGGAAAGAGCAAUGAGACAGAUUUCAAGGGAAAUCCAAAGGUAGAGAGAGUCUGUGCCCCUCUCCUCAGAUCAGAAAAUGCCCUAAUGGUAUAAUUCAUCAGCAGGCACAUUUUAUCUCCAACUCCAGCUCCCAGUAGACACCACCAUCUCCACUGUGGCCAAGAAGCCUCAGCAGAGUGGUGGCGAUGGCCCAGUACAGUUUGCUUGAGCUACCUCAGUUAGUUAGCAUUAUCAAGCUUCAGUUCCCACCAGCAGCCUGUGGCACCAAAAGGGCCCAUGAGACACUUUUGCCCUGGGCUACAGGAUGUAGAUAAUGGAACCAACUGAAGCAUUUACCAGGAGUUACCAUGGGGGAAGCUUAAUAACCCUGGGGCAAAGAGCUUCAGGGCACACCACCUCAACUGGUCAUCAAUUAAGAGCCCUCUAGAAUGAUGAGCUUCCCUGGUAGCUCAGACGAUAAAGCAUCUGCCUACAAUGUGGAGACCCGGGUUCCAUCUCUGGGUUGGGAAGAUCCCCUGGAGAAGGAAAUGCAAUCCAAUCCAGUACUCUUGCCUGGAAAAUCCCAUGGACCGAGGAGCC